GAUGAAGAACGCAGCGAAAUGCGAUACGUAAUGUGAAUUGCAGAAUUCAGUGAAUCAUCGAAUCUUUGAACGCAUAUUGCGCUCUCUGGUAUUCCGGAGAGCAUGCUUGUUUGAGUAUCAGUAAACACCUCAACUUCCAUAUCUUUUUUUGAAAUGGGAGUUGGACUUGAGUGAUCCCAACGCUUUUCCUCACCGAAAAGUGGCGGGUUACUUGAAAUGCAGGUGCAGCUGGACUUUUCUCUGAGCUAUAAGCAUAUCUAUUUAGUCUGCCUAAAAAACAGAUUAUUACCUUUGCUGCAGCUAACAUAAAGGAGAUUAGUUCUUGUGCUGACUGAUGCAGGAUUCACAAAAACAGCUUCGGCCGACUUUGUAAACUCGAUCUCAAAUCAAGUAAGACUACCCGCUGAACUUAAGCAUAUCAAUAAGCGGAGGA
rnacentral:misc_RNA from 1 species